UACGAGGGGGGCAAAUGUUGUUCGGAAUCAUUGGGCGUAAAGCGCGUGUAGGCGGCCCGGUAAGUCCGCUGUGAAAGUCGGGGGCUCAACCCUCGGAUGCCGGUGGAUACUGUCGGGCUCGAGUACGGAAGAGGCGAGUGGAAUUCCUGGUGUAGCGGUGAAAUGCGCAGAUAUCAGGAAGAACACCCGUGGCGAAGGCGGCUCUCUGGGACGGUACUGACGCUGAGACGCGAAAGCGUGGGGAGCGAACAGG
rnacentral:rRNA from 1 species